AUUGAACGCUGGCGGCAGGCCUAACACAUGCAAGUCGAACGAGUGGCGGACGGGUGAGUAAUGUCUGGGAAACUGCCCGAUGGCGGGGGAUAACUACUGGAAACGGUAGCUAAUACCGCAUACUAAAGGAUGGACCUGCGAUGCAUUAGCUAGUUGGUAAGGUAACGGCUUACCAAGGCGAUGAUGCAUAGCCGAGUUGAGAGACUGAUCGGCCACAUUGGGACUGAGACACGGCCCAAACUCCUACGGGAGGCAGCAGUGGGGAAUAUUGCACAAUGGGCGCAAGCCUGAUGCAGCCAUGCCGCGUGUAUGAAGAAGGCCUUCGGGUUGUAAAGUACUUUCAGCGAGGAGGCGUUACUCGCAGAAGAAGCACCGGCUAACUACGUGCCAGCAGCCGCGGUAAUAC
rnacentral:rRNA from 1 species